rnacentral:lncRNA from 1 species
GCUUCCAUCUGUUACUAAGUUGAGCGUGAACUGAGCCAGCUCUAUAAAUAUUUUUGCAUAUUUUACCACUCUCAUGUUUCCUUGCUUUAAUUAUGGUAAUUUCAUUUACUUCUAUUCUCGAACAAAGUUAGGAAAAUACUUCUCGUAGAAUGCUGCUCUAAAUGUUUCCCAAAGGAUCGGUGUCCUCAAAGAUCCCUUCUUCAGGCGCCCCUAAUGUUCUGUAGCUCCCUUAAAUAUGAAUGUGGC